rnacentral:rRNA from 1 species
CCUACGGGUGGCAGCAGUGAGGAAUAUUGGUCAAUGGGCGUAAGCCUGAACCAGCGAAGUCGCGUGAGGGAUGAAGGUUCUAUGGAUCGUAAACCUCUUUUAUAAGGGAAUAAAGUGUGGGACGUGUCCUAUUUGGGAUGUACCUUAUGAAUAAGGAUCGGCUAACUCCGGUACAGCAGCCGCGGUAAUACGGAGGAUCCGAGCGUUUUCCGGAUGUAUGGGGUUUAAAGGGUGAGUAGGCGGCCUUGUAAGUGAGGGGUGAAAGUCUGUGGCUCAACCCUAGAAUUGCCGUUGAAACUGGGGGACUUGAGUAUGUUUGAGGCAGGCGGAAUGCGUGGUGUAGCGGUGAAAUGCUUAGAUAUCGCGCAGAACCCCGAUUGCGAAGGCGGCCUCCCAAGCCAUGACUGACGCUGAUGCACGAAAGCGUGGGGAUCAAACAGGAUUAGAUACCCGAGUAGUC